UCCAUUAUUUAUGUAUUCGUGGGAGUGUGGUUUUGUAACCGGUUCAGAUAAGUUAAAACAAAAAAGCCACCGCGGGAAAGGGGGGUGAAGGCGGAGGUGACCCAAGUCUGCGACCAAGGUCUCCAGCAACACCUGCAUGUAGACCUUGGCGAAUAUAUUUGUAAAGCAAAGAGGGAAAGGUCUCGGAAGAGGACCCUAAGGCACCCUAGAGUCUUUAUGCUACUGAGAAAAUACUCUUAGGUGGCACGACAGCAAACCCGAGGUGAACUUCACCUGAGUAGAGAGCAGCUCUGCUGGGGUGGCAUGGAUGAGCAGUAAGUUGAAUGUGGGUGUCUGUGCUUGUGCAAGCGGAGGAGGCCCCAGGAUGAAGAAGAUGACCACCCAUCUACUUAUGGGAUCGUUCAUCAUUCUUUGUGAGCUAUUGCGGAAGCGUCAGGAAACAGAAGUCAGUCAGGUGCGAAAAUUGACUUUCCCUGCAUGACCACACAAUGCAGAUAGUUUCACGGUUGAGAACCACUGUCUUGCCGGAAGCAUGAAACAUCUGGGAUGCUGUGGAACUUUUACAUCACCACCAUGGUUUCGUGAAGACUUUCCUCCAUGGAUUCUGGCUCAUGGAAACCAGAGGCCCCUGAGGGGGACAGAAGAGCUCCUAUCAUUGGAAGAGCCGACCUCAGGGCCACUACAGAGAAAAUCCAGCAACACUUCUGGUUCCAGCGGGGGCUCCCUGCCUCCCCCCGCCACCCCACCUUUCCAGGGAAUGAGGGCCAGAUUUGCCUUCCCUGCAUUUGAUGUUUCUGCUGAAACCACCAUCAGAUGUACAAAGUGCCUUAUCCACCAUCAUGGUAUUCCACACGGCAUUGCUUCUGACCAAGGAACUCCUUUCACAGCCAGAAGUGCGACAUGGGACCCAUAACCAUGAAAACCAUUGACCUUCCUAAUGUCCACCAUCCUGAAGCAGAUGGCCUGACAGAAAGAUGGAAUGGCUUUUGAAGACACAGUCACAUCAUCAUUAAAUGGCAGCAGUAUGGAGGGCUGGGACAGGGUUCUCCCAAAGGCAGCAUAUGCUUUGAAACCAAUAUAUAGUACUGUUUCUCCUAUAGUCAUUGUCCAGAAGCAUGGAAAUGGGAACAGUUCCACUCAUUGUCACCCAAGUGACCUACUAGGAAAUGUUUUGCUUCCUGUUCCCUUCUCUUGACCUUGAGUUCUGCUGCCCUAGAAGUUUUGGUUCCAGAGUGCGAGCAUUCCUGCUGAGACCCAAGCAAGCAUCCAUUGAACGGGAAGCUCAGACUUUGCCCUGGCCACUUUGGGCUUCUGACACCCUUAAGCCAACGGGCUAAGAAAGGAAUGAUAAUGUUAGAAAGGGUGAUUAAUCCAUGCUACCAAGGGGAAACUGGAUUGCUCCUCCACGGUGGAGGUGAGAAAGAUUAUAUCCAGAGUACAAAAGAUCCUAUAGGGCAUCUCUUGGUGCUACAAUGUCCUGUGGCUAAAGUCCAUGGGAAACCUCAACAGCCUAGUCCAGGCAGGAUGACAAAGGACGCAGAGCCAUCAGGAACGAAGGGAUGGCUCACUCCUCCAGGAACAGAGCCAAGACUGACUGAGGGGCUUGCAGAGGGUGGAAGAAAUACAGAAUGGAUAGUAGAGGAAGGGAGUUACAGAUACCAUCUAAGGCCGCGUGACCACUUGCAGAAACGAGGAUUAUAAUUGACACGAGUGUGUGUUGUGUUUUGUUACGAGUUUGUUUGUUCAGGUGUUUGUGUUUCCUUUACCUAAUUUCUUUUUUUUUUUGUAAUAAAUAUUUUGUCAUCCUUUAAUCCCCAAAUUGGACAGUGAAAUUAAUUGAUACUGAUUGAAUAGACUGUAAGAUAUGUGCCACAUCACAGUAAGUAAGCAAUCUGAGAAGUUAUCGGUUUCCCAGUGCUUCCUGGGAAGACUGAGGCAUUCUGGGUAAUGUCUGCAUGGUCUUCUGCUAUGAGUGGAAAGGCUAAUUUAUUUCUUUCUUUCUUUCUUUUUUUCUUUUCUUUUUCGGAGCUGGGGACCAAACCCAGGGCCCUGCACUUGCUAGGCAAGUGCUCUACUACUGAGCUAAAUCCCCAACUCCGAAAGACUCAUUUCUUUAUCGUACAGUGUAACACCAAUAAAGAAUAUCAAUGGUUAUCAUACUUAAGUCGAGAUACUAAAAGAAUGUCCCAUAGGGGACAUGGCCACCUAUUCUAAAUGUAUCAUGCAUUUGUGGUUGUAUGAGGGAUAGUUAUAUGAGGUUUAUGUGUAAUUACAGUAAUGUUAUUUGGUUUAAUGUGUAAUGUGUUUGUGAUUGUGAUAUGUGAAAUUGUUAUAUCAAUUAUGACCUGGUUAUUGUUUUCAUUUGUAAAUUAAUCAUGACACAAGGAGAUAGUAUUGUGUUAGGUUGACAAGAAGUAGACUCAUGAUGACUAUUCUAGGUUUUCAACUCGAUUACAUCUAAGAUUAACUAAAACCCCAAAUGGAGGGGAACACCGGUGAGGGAGUUUUGCUUCAUUGGAGAGUGGGAAGAUCCACUUCUCAUUGGAAUCUUUUGUUUUGUUUUGUUUUGUUUGAAGACUGGGUUUCUCUGUGUAGCACUGGCUGUCCCAGAACUGACUCUGUGCACCAGGCUGCCCUCCAAGUCACACAUUCCCCUGUCUCUGCCUUUCAAGUACUGGGAUUAAAGGCGUGUGCCACCAAUGCCAGCCUUCUAAUCUGAAUCUUUGAGGUGGGAAGACAUACCUCUAAUUCCACACUUCUGCUGGAUGCUUAAAUAAGGACAUGGAAAAAGAAACCUCUGUCUUUGCCUGCUUGCUGUAACCUUGCUAGCAAGGCCACUCCUUCACUGGCAUUAGAACCUACUUCUUUGGGAUUCAUGUGUAUACUGAAUUGGCCAGCUGAGACGUCCAACCUCAUGGACUGAACAAUUACAAGAUUCUUGGACCUUCCAUUCCUAGGCAGCCAUUGUUGGAUUAGCCUGAAAGUCAUACUAAACAAAUCAUAUAUAUAAAUAAAUUUUAUAUAUUACAAAAUACA
rnacentral:lncRNA from 1 species